UGAAAAAAAUGGACUUAGUGGGUCUUUGAAUUUAAAUAAAAUAAACAUGUAUAUGCAACACAAAAUAUUUAUAUUCCUUGUGUAAACAUAAUUUAAUUGAUUAGGAUUAAAAUGUUUUGUUUGAAUGUAAAAUGAACACAUUAUUCUCACAUUGAUUAAAAUUGAUUGAAUUGAAUACUUAAAGCAAUAAAAUUGGGUUUGCACACAAAACGGCACCUCCUGAGCAGCAGGGGCAGUAUAGCUCAAUGAGAAUGACAUCGAUUGCCAUAAAAGAAGAAUAAAGAUCGUUUGUUUUGGGCGCCAAAAUGAAGACUCAGCAGCAGUCAGUCAGUCAGUCAGAAGAACUCUCUCAGACGGACACCACGUUAUUAAAGUCCAUCAUCCUUGCAUGCGCUACACAGCAUUGAUAAAUGCUGAAUUUAAAAGAAUCACUACUGUCUAAUGUUCCUGUGUCACCUGGACCUCCAAUCCAAAAACCUGACGAAACUCUUCUAUCAGAAAGGAGGACAGCUAGCAAAAAGACUUCAAACAAUUAAUGAUCAAAUGACAGAAGGCAUGGAUGAAGUCAGCAUCAGUGAGGUCAUUUGAAGACACCAAUGUUGGGAUUUGUGCUCUCAAACAACAUGCUUCUUGUGAUGAAGAAGAGGAUCUUUGUAUAGUCCUGGAAGCCAUGAAGGUGUUGCAACAUCGUGUUUGAGCUGAUGUAUGCCUUAAACCUGAUCUCCGCUUUAUUUUUGAGGAAAUCCAAACUGCAUUGAGAGUAACUUUAACGAACAGUUUCUUUCAGUGAAAGGAUCAGAAAGACUGUGCUGCUCAUUUUUGACUUUUUUAUCUGUUUUAAGUGUUUUCUCUUAUUAAUACAUUAACAGUUUGCUGCUCAGAGUCGAUUUUGGAAAUGGUUGUUGUAUUUUGUUUUUGUUGAAUCUUUGAUUAACAGUUUAUACAAAUGCUGUAGCUCUGACUUUCUGAAGGAGUGAUAUUUUCCAGUUUGUAAAUCCAUUUUAAAA